GAUGAACGCUGGCGGCGUGCCUAAUACAUGCAAGUCGAGCGAACAGAUGAGGAGCUUGCUCCUCUGACGUUAGCGGCGGACGGGUGAGUAACACGUGGAUAACCUACCUAUAAGACUGGGAUAACUUCGGGAAACCGGAGCUAAUACCGGAUAAUAUAUUGAACCGCAUGGUUCAAUAGUGAAAGACGGUUUUGCUGUCACUUAUAGAUGGAUCCGCGCCGCAUUAGCUAGUUGGUAAGGUAACGGCUUACCAAGGCAACGAUGCGUAGCCGACCUGAGAGGGUGAUCGGCCACACUGGAACUGAGCCACGGUCCAGACUCCUACGGGAGGCAGCAGUAGGGAAUCUUCCGCAAUGGGCGAAAGCCUGACGGAGCAACGCCGCGUGAGUGAUGAAGGUCUUCGGAUCGUAAAACUCUGUUAUUAGGGAAGAACAAAUGUGUAAGUAACUAUGCACGUCUUGACGGUACCUAAUCAGAAAGCCACGGCUAACUAUGUG
rnacentral:rRNA from 1 species